UGGGGAAUCUUGCACAAUGGGGGAAACCCUGAUGCAGCGACGCCGCGUGAGCGAUGAAGCCCUUCGGGGUGUAAAGCUCUUUCGGCAGGGAAGAUGAUGACGGUACCUGCAGAAGCAGCUGCGGCUAACUACGUGCCAGCAGCCGCGGUAAUACGUAGGCAGCAAGCGUUGUUCGGAGUUACUGGGCGUAAAGGGUGCGUAGGCGGUUGUUUAAGUUUGGUGUGAAAUCUCCCGGCUCAACUGGGAGGGUGCGCCGAAUACUGAAUGACUAGAGUGCGGGAGAGGAGAGUGGAAUUCCUGGUGUAGCGGUGAAAUGCGUAGAUAUCAGGAGGAACACCGGUGGUGUAGACGGCUCUCUGGACCGUACUGACGCUGAGGCACGAAAGCGUGGGUAGCAAACAGGAUUAGAUACCCUGGUAGUCCACGCCCUAAACGAUGCAUAUUUGGUGUGGGCAGUUCAGUCUGUCCGUGCCGGAGCUAACG
rnacentral:rRNA from 1 species